rnacentral:rRNA from 1 species
AGGACGAACGCUGGCGGCGUGCUUAACACAUGCAAGUCGAGCGGUAAGGCCCUUCGGGGUACACGAGCGGCGAACGGGUGAGUAACACGUGGGUAACCUGCCCUGUACUGUGGGAUAAGCCUGGGAAACUGGGUCUAAUACCGCAUAUGACUGCAUUCCGCAUGGGGUGUGGUGGAAAGUUCUGGCGGUACAGGAUGGGCCCGCGGCCUAUCAGCUUGUUGGUGGGGUGAUGGCCUACCAAGGCGACGACGGGUAGCCGGCCUGAGAGGGCGACCGGCCACACUGGGACUGAGACACGGCCCAGACUCCUACGGGAGGCAGCAGUGGGGAAUCUUGCGCAAUGGGCGAAAGCCUGACGCAGCGACGCCGCGUGAGGGAUGACGGCCUUCGGGUUGUAAACCUCUUUCGACCGGGACGAAGCGUGAGUGACGGUACCGGUAGAAGAAGCACCGGCUAACUACGUGCCAGCAGCCGAC